CCUACGGGAGGCAGCAGUGGGGGAUAUUGCUCAAUGGGGGAAACCCUGAAGCAGCAACGCCGCGUGAAGGAUGAAGGCUUUCGGAUUGUAAACUCCUUUUUUUAGAGAAGCUAAUGACGGUAUCUGACCAAUAAUCACCGGCUAACUACGUGCCAGCAGCCGCGGUAAUACGGAGGGUGCAAGCGUUACUCGGAAUCACUGGGCGUAAAGCGCGCGUAGGCGGGUUAGCAAGUCAGAUGUGAAAUCCUACGGCUUAACCAUAGAACUGCAUGUGAAACUGUGAAUCUGGAGUAUGGGAGAGGUAGGCGGAAUUCUUGGUGUAGGGGUGAAAUGCGUAGAGAUCAAGAGGAACACCGAUGGCGAAGGCGACCUGCUAGAAUGUAACUGACGUUGAUGCGCGAAAGCGUGGGGAGCAAACAGGAUUAGAUACCCCUGUAGUC
rnacentral:rRNA from 1 species